rnacentral:lncRNA from 1 species
UCAGGCUAGAACAGGCUGUAGCCUAGAAGUGAACAAGAGCCAGUUUUCAGGACAGCGGUCCUUUUUAGUAGAAAGCUGAGUCACCAGCACUUUGACAAUCCUCUCUCAUCAAAGCCCUUCCCAGCAAACCUUAUAUCCCUCACUUGGCAGCAUCAUCAUGGGCUCAGCUGCCCUGCCCCCUCAUUAUGGCAUCAUCACUUAGUCUGGUAUAGAAUUAUGGGGUGAACUUUGUUCUGAGCCCCAGUAUCAAAUACAUGGAAAAAAGUUGGCAAGAACAGCAGUAUUUUGGAACUUUACUCUUGGAGCUAUCUCUCAAUAUCCUAGCUGUGAAAAGUGACUGGGCUACUGUGAUAUUUGGCAGCCGAUUAGAUGGGUGCAGUGAAUAUGAGCAAGACGUCACACCAUGGGUGACUUGGACAACUUCCCACAACUAUCGAACACAAAUCCAUCUCCGGACUCCAAUUUUGGUCAGAAGACUCAGGAGGAGACAGUCCAGAGGAGAUAGAAGAUAGAAGCACAAGAGCAUAGGAGAGGAAUGAUUCUAUUCUAUGCUAAUUGUUGUUCAGUUUAUGUUUGACAGGCUAUUUAGCAUUUGAUGAAUGAAUAACUUGGACCCAAAUGCCAAUAUGAACACAUUUGCUCGGGAACUACAGGGAGUACAAAGCAAUGUAACAUAUACACUCUGCUCUCAAGGAGCUGAUAAUCCAAUUGGGAGAUAAGGC